rnacentral:rRNA from 1 species
GUCCACGCCGUAAACGAUGCUAACUCGUUUUGGGCUUUAGGGUUCAGAGACCAAGCGAAAGUGAUAAGUUAGCCACCUGGGGAGUACGCUCGCAAGAGUGAAACUCAAAGGAAUUGACGGGGCCCGCACAAGCGGUGGAUUAUGUGGUUUAAUUCGAUGAUACGCGAGGAACCUUACCAAGACUUAAAUGGGAAUUGACAGCUUUUAGAAAUAGAGCUUUCUUCGGACAAUUUUCAAGGUGCUGCAUGGUUGUCGU